rnacentral:misc_RNA from 1 species
UAACUGCGUGCAGACGUGUGAACUGCAGGACACAUGAACACCGACGUUUCGAACGCAAAUGGCGGUCUAAAGUAAAUUUUAGACCACGUCUGGCUGAGGGUCGGAUUUGAAAUAAAACUAAAGUUACUCAACCUAAUGGCUUACAGGAUUUUUUAAAAAAUCGAGUAGCCUGUUUGAUACGAAAGUUUCAUCGCUGGGUUAAAAUUUAGCUCAGUUAGAAUUCUGGUAGCGCUGAACAAAGAAAGCUAACUUGAUGUUAUAAUAAAAUGUUAAAAGCGAUAAAUGUUUGCGCUAUUCAAAAAAUUUAUAAAAAACAAAUCAAACAUACGACCUCAGAGUAGGCGAGAUUACCCGCUAAAUUUAA